rnacentral:rRNA from 1 species
UGAGGAAUUUUGCGCAAUGGGGGAAACCCUGACGCAGCAACGCCGCGUGAGUGAUGAAGGCCUUUUGGUUGUAAAGCUCUGUCGCCCGGAAAGAAACCUUGGAUCAGGAAAUGGGUUCAAGUUGACGGUACCGGGAAAGGAAGCACCGGCUAACUCCGUGCCAGCAGCCGCGGUAAUACGGGGGGUGCAAGCGUUAUUCGGAAUUACUGGGUGUAAAGCGCAUGUAGGCGGUUGGGUAUGUCAGAUGUGAAAGCCCGGGGCUUAACCCCGGAAGUGCAUUUGAAACUGCCUGGCUUGAGUCUCGGAGAGGAAGGUGGAAUUCCCAGUGUAGAGGUGGAAUUCGUAGAUAUUGGGAGGAACACCGGUGGCGAAAGCGACCUUCUGGACGGUGACUGACGCUCAGAUGCGAAAGCGUGGGUAGCAAACA